UACGGGGGGGGCAAGCGUUGUUCGGAAUUACUGGGCGUAAAGGGCUCGUAGGCGGCCAACUAAGUCAGACGUGAAAUCCCUCGGCUUAACCGGGGAACUGCAUCUGAUACUGGAUGGCUUGAGUUCGGGAGAGGGAUGCGGAAUUCCAGGUGUAGCGGUGAAAUGCGUAGAUAUCUGGAGGAACACCGGUGGCGAAGGCGGCAUUCUGGACCGACAUUGACGCUGAGGAGCGAAAGCUAGGGGAGCAAACGGG
rnacentral:rRNA from 1 species